CCUCACCGCGGCCAUCUUGACCCGCCCGUCCGGGCGGCGGGCGAAGCCGGAAAGAUGGAACACAUCCUGACCUGGGCUUGCUGCUCAUUUAAUGAGUAACUGAGUGUUUUUCACAUUUGGCAGAGAUGAUUGUCUCCUAUUCUUUUCCUGAGGUGUCUUGUCUUCUUUGGGCGACAGGAAAAUGUUGAACUGGCUAGUGUGACAUGUUAAAUAAUCAUGUUUACUAACAUUUUUGUUUCGAAUAAGUAUGCUGUGGAAAACUGAUUCAUGAGACAUACCUUAAUGUAAUUGCAUACUUUUAGCACAUUAAGUACAAUAUUUAGUAUAAUUGUAAAAAAGCAUGAUUUCUGAAUAAAUGUUAACUGUUAUACAU